rnacentral:rRNA from 1 species
CGGUACGUACUGGUGUUACUGAUUCCUACCUUCUGACGAACCAUCAUGUCAUUAGUUUGGUGUGGUGGGGAAUCAGGACUGUUACUUUGAAAAAAUUAGAGUGUUUAAAGCAGGCUCGCGCUUGAAUACAUUAGCAUGGAAUAAUGAAAUAGGACGUUGAUCCUAUUUUGUUGGUUUCUAGGAUUGACGUAAUGAUUAAUAGGGAUAGUUGGGGGCAUUAGUAUUCAAUUGUCAGAGGUGAAAUUCUUGGAUUUAUUGAAGACUAACUACUGCGAAAGCAUUUGCCAAGGAUGUUUUCAUUAAUCAAGAACGAGAGUUAGGGGAUCGAAGACGAUCAGAUACCGUCGUAGUCUUAACCAUAAACUAUGCCGACUAGGGAUCGGAUGAUGUUAUUUUUAAUGACUCAUUCGGCGCCUUA